UUUCAGGCAGGUAUUGAUUAUCAGAAAAUAAAUAAUAGAUCCUCAUGAAAUAAUGAAGUAGUUGCAAUUGAUUAGAACGUAUUUAUUAAGCCCUUACUCCAUAUGCAAUCAACCUUUUUCCAUAGGCCUACUCCACAGUCACAUUCAUUGUUUGUUGCCUUAAAUUUCUUGAUUUAUGGAGUGACAGGCCACUGAAGAGGCUGAUAAAAGCACAGGCGAUUUCAUUCCUCUAUAAAAAAACAAGUCAUUAUUGGGAAGCAGUGAAUCUUUGCAAUCUAAUAGUGCUCUCGGUGUUCUUCUCAAGCUUUUAAACUAAUUCGUGAUUGAUCGCUAAUUAUCGGUGACGGAGGCUCUCGAGACAGCUGUACUUCCCACCUCAAACAUCCCCCCGCCUUUUCUCUGAUUGAAAGAGCUAUAACUUUCAAACGGUCGACUCUGCUCGUUGUUUGGUUGAGUCAAUAGACUUCAAGACGUUUGAAUAAUCAUUGUGCCCUUUCCCAAUAAAGAAGGUUGUUUCACAACAAUAAAGCAUCAGGCACCCAAUAUUACCUGCUGGAUGGUGCAAUAAUGGAAAGCACUGCUAAAUAACCAAACAAUUUAGCAUGAAAUACAUCAGUAUUGCAUUGUUAUUACAAUUGAAUAUGGUUCCAUAGCCUAGGCUACUGUUGCUUCCAAGGUAAAUAUCCUAGACCUAGAAGAUCGCUCAACAUGUACCAAUAUCACAGUGAAAUGGUAAAAGAAACGACUCCUAAUUGGCUAAAUAUUGAUUGCCGUGAGUCAAAAAUGUUGGCUCAAGAACCCCUGGACUUCCCUGUCCAGGCGGCACGUGACAGGAGUUGCUCUCAAUGACCAGCGCAAUUGAUGUGAGCUAUUUGGAUGUGAAUCGCCAUUCUCCCACAAAGUAAAACAUUAAGAAUGGGUGUCCUCAAUGACAAUGAAUUUGUUUUCAGCGCUAGAUCAAUUGAGGUCUGCUUUCGUCUGCCUUGAAAUCUAUUCGCCAAUUGCAUUGCCUCGAGCCUUAGGAUAGGCUAUAAAAGUGGACUUCGUUUUUCAAGCAGUAUAAAGGCUAGCCUGCAUCAGUGAUGCUGGCAAACUCAGUUGUAGGCUAGUCUACCAUAACAAGUGACCAAAGAAUAUCUCCUGACCAUUCUCUGACAAAAUUAGGGACCAAAAGAGGACCAAACUAUGCGCUGCACUUGACGCGUAGGCUAAGCGAUAGGCUAUAUUACCAGGAACCAGAGACAGUAUCCACAGAAGCUAUGAGCGGAAGAGAGCAGCCUCACAAGAUCAUUAACACCACUUCUGGACUAUGCUGUGGACUGAGGAGAGACUGAGAGAGAGACGAGUGGAGGCAGGUCUGGGUCUGUGCUGAUAUACAGUACGCCCUGCAUCAUUUCUACAUGUACCACCAGCAGACUGAAUUAGAGCACUGCAUCAUCUCCAAUCAAUCAUCAUCCUCCCAGGCAACAAGGGACAAGGGUUGCUGCCUCCUCAUUCCGAACCAGACGUGGACCCAGUCGGUACUAGAUGUGGUGACCCCAUCUGGUGAAAAAAACCUGUGGUUACCCCAUUGGCUAACUGCAAAAACUGUGCUCACAGCAAAACAGAAAUGUGCUCAUUCCUAGUCAGUAAAAGAUAGAAAGUCGCCUGUGGGGAAUACAACCUGUAGUUACCUAGGUUACCCCAUUGGCUCACAGAAAAACUUGACCUUUUUCAAACGCAAUUUUCUUGUUGUCUGCUUGUUUUAGUCAAUUACAUAACUACAUUUAAGAAAAGUACAACAUGUCUAAAGAUGACUUUUCAACAUUACCUGCUCCUGAGCGUUCUCACUACUUAGAAAAACAUAAUAUUGUAGGCCUUCCCUCAUGCCUCUUUUCAUAACGAUGCUAACAGACACUUGAGUGAGUGAGUGCUAGCUAUCUACUGACCGGAACAUUAAGCUAGCUAAGACCAACAACACAAACAAACAGACUAUACAGCUACAAGUAGUGAGUGGAGUUACAAACAGACAGUACUAAACAAGUUAAAUGUCUUACCUGUGAUGACAUUUUUUCCACACACAAAGCUACGUGUAGCCUGAAGUGUGUGUGUGUGCACGCAAGUGUUAAACUUCAAGAACAUUGAUAAGAGGGAGUAGGCCUACUUAAACAUUGGGAGCAUUAAUAGCUGUAUGUUACAGUGACUUUUGUGUUGUUUAUGGUGAAAAUGCUAUUUAAACAUUCUGAUGAAGAUCAUUUUGUGUUGUUUAUGGUGAAAAUGCUAUUUAAACAUUCUGAUGAAGAUCAUUUUGUGUUGUUUAUGGUGAAAAUGCUAUUUAAACAUUCUGAUGUGGAUCCCUUUGUGUUGUUUAUGGUGAAAAUGCUAUUUAAACAUUCUGAUGAAGAUCAUUUUGUGUUGUUUAUGGUGAAAAUGCUAUUUAAACAUUCUGAUGUGGAUCCUUUUGUGUUGUUUAUGGUGAAAAUGCUAUUUAAACAUUCUGAUGUGGAUCCUUUUGUGUUGUUUAUGGUGAAAAUGCUAUUUAAACAUUCUGAUGUGGAUCCUUUUGUGUUGUUUAUGGUGAAAAUGCUAUUUAAACAUUCUGAUGUGGAUCCCUUUGUGUUGUUUAUGGUGAAAAUGCUAUUUAAACAUUCUGAUGAAGAUCAUUUUGUGUUGUUUAUGGUGAAAAUGCUAUUUAAACAUUCUGAUGUGGAUCCCUUUGUGUUGUUUAUGGUGAAAAUGCUAUUUAAACAUUCUGAUGAAGAUCAUUUUGUGUUGUUUAUGGUGAAAAUGCUAUUUAAACAUUCUGAUGUGGAUCCCUUUGUGUUGUUUAUGGUGAAAAUGCUAUUUAAACAUUCUGAUGUGGAUCCCUUUGUGUUGUUUAUGGUGAAAAUGCUAUUUAAACAUUCUGAUGUGGAUCCUUUUGUGUUGUUUAUGGUGCCAUUAAAAUCCUCUGAUGCAGAUUAUUUUAUGUUUCUUUCCCUUACAAUCAAAACAUAGCAUGCCUAUAACUCAAUGCACUGCUUUUUAAAUGGAAAAUUGUUUAUUUAGGGACAAAUUUGGGCAAAUUCUAAAUUGCAAUUAAGGGAUGCCAUUAAGUUAAUUCAUUAUUUUAAUCGUUUGACAGCACUAGUUUAUACUGUACCCUAGUGAGUUAGGAGAGGGGUUGACUAAUUUAAAAAAAUGACCAGUGAUUGUCGCUUUGACAGUGCAUUAUAAAACCUUUCAUUUAAACUUUUAGAUAUAAAGAUUUAUAGGCUGGAAAAAAACAAUGCCAAAAUAUCAAGUCAACCUUGAUAUUUUUGAAAAUGAUGUUUUAGUAUAAUUCUCAGAAAGGAUAAGCCUACCGAUUUAGAUGAGAUGUUGCUAUAUUGUACACUAAGUGUUCAAAACAUUAGGAACACCUGCUCUUUCCAUGACAUAGACUGACCAGGUGAAUCCAGGUGAAAUCUGUGAUCCCUUAUUGAUGUCACAUGUUAAAUCCACUUCAAUCAGUGUAGAUGAAGGGGAGAAGACAGGUUUAAGAAGGAUUAUUAAGCCUUGAGACAAUUGAGACAUGGAUUGUGUAUGUGUGCCAUCCAGAGGGUGAAUGGGCAAGACAAAAUAUUUAAGUGCCCUUGAACGGGGUAUGGUAGUAGCUGCUAGGCACACUGGUUUGAGUCAAGAACUGCAACGCUGCUGGGGAUUUCACACUCAACAGUUUCCCGUGUGUAUCAAGACGGUCCACCAUCCAAAGGACAUCCAGCCAACCAAUGAAUUGAGGCUGUUCUGCGGGUGCAACUCAAUAUUAGGAAGGUGUUCCUAAUGUUUUGUACACUCAUUGUAUACCAAACCUAGCUUGGUUUCUCAGGUUCUAUGUGGGGGAGUUUUUUAAUACAUAUCUUACAGGAAACCACCUAUUUAUAAUGAUAGAAUUGUAUGUCUUUCUCUUUUAAGUGUAUACUUGUUCAGAAUAUCUCAGAUUGAUGAUGUACUGCAUGUAAACAAAAACAUUUACAAUUGCAUUUGCAACAUUGCUGUUUUCCAACAAUAAAGAUUCCGAAACCUGUCUUUCUGUUGUUGUUGUUUAAAGUUAUUCUGACAUUUUCUGACUUGAAAAUGGAAACGCUUAGGAAUGGGAAUGGAAAUCAUACUUAUUGUUUUAAUCUAUGAGACUAUGACAAUUAUUUCACAAUAAAUACAGUAGAACACCAGUGGUAAUAGGGUUGGAAAAUAAAAUGUGAACUAUCCCUUUAAGUUAACACACAUAAUAUCAGCAAAACCUCCAAAAGGAUCCUGUUCACACACAUCGCAA
rnacentral:lncRNA from 1 species